GAGUUUGAUCGUGGCUCAGAUUGAACGCUGGCGGCAUGCCUUACACAUGCAAGUCGAACGGCAGCACGGGAGCUUGCUCCUGGUGGCGAGUGGCGAACGGGUGAGUAAUGCAUCGGAACGUAUCCUGGAGUGGGGGAUAACGUAGCGAAAGUUACGCUAAUACCGCAUAUUCUGUGAGCAGGAAAGCGGGGGACCUUCGGGCCUCGCGCUCUUGGAGCGGCCGAUGUCGGAUUAGCUAGUUGGUGAGGUAAAGGCUCACCAAGGCGACGAUCCGUAGCAGGUCUGAGAGGAUGAUCUGCCACACUGGAACUGAGACACGGUCCAGACUCCUACGGGAGGCAGCAGUGGGAAUUUGGACAAGUGGGGGCAACCCUGAUCCAGCCAUGCCGCGUGAGUGAAGAAGGCC
rnacentral:rRNA from 1 species